UACGUAGGUGGCAAGCGUUGUCCGGAUUUACUGGGUGUAAAGGGCGUGCAGCCGGGCUGACAAGUCAGAUAUGAAAUCCCGCGGCUCAACCGCGGAACUGCAUUUGAAACUGUCAGUCUUGAGUACCGGAGAGGUCAUCGGAAUUCCUUGUGUAGCGGUGAAAUGCGUAGAUAUAAGGAAGAACACCAGUGGCGAAGGCGGAUGACUGGACGGCAACUGACGGUGAGGCGCGAAAGCGUGGGGAGCAAACAGG
rnacentral:rRNA from 1 species